rnacentral:sRNA from 1 species
UGGAAUUUGAUGUGUAGUUUCUCAUA